UCCUCACCUAAACCCAAGGGCCACUAUUUAUUGUAAUAGUGGCUCAAACACAGGUGCUAACAGCAAAGGAUACCUCGUCAUCUUUGGAGGACUUCCUGUGCCCUUCAAAGUGAAUUUAGAGGUUCUAAACUC
rnacentral:snoRNA from 2 species